UACAGAGGUGGCAAGCGUUGUUCGGAAUUACUGGGCGUAAAGGGCGCGUAGGCGGCCUUCUAAGUCAGACGUGAAAUCCCCCGGCUUAACCGGGGAACUGCGUCUGAUACUGGAUGGCUGGAGUAUGGGAGAGGGAUGCGGAAUUCCAGGUGUAGCGGUGAAAUGCGUAGAUAUCUGGAGGAACACCGGUGGCGAAGGCGGCAUCCUGGACCAUUACUGACGCUGAGGAGCGAAAGCCAGGGGAGCAAACGGG
rnacentral:rRNA from 1 species